UUAUUUUUUUUUUUAAGAGUGGGAAGCAUGAAAGUGGGAGGGGAGAGGAGCAGAAAAAGGAAAUUUCUGGAGCCUUGGAGCUUGCUUUUCCCUCUCCUUCCCCGCUCCCAAGAUGGCUUGAAAAAAGUAAAAAGGGACAGUAAUAAGGGGGACACACACACAGAGAAAAGCUCGUGAAGAGGGAAAAAGUUUGGGGAAUUGGGGUUUCUUGUGCGUGUGUUUGGUCUUUGUGUUUGGGGUUUUCGUUUUGGGUUUUUUUGAUUGUUUGUUUUUUAAACCAUAGGAUCCCAGAAUGACAGAAGCGACUACAAACACCCGGGAAGAGCAGGCACAAGGAGAGGAACGAGCGAGAGAAAAGAGUUUUGCUGUGUGCCGCGGUGCGAUGUAGAACCACCUGGGGGUGAAGGAAUCACAUCUUCCUGUGGUAUUGUUAAGGGAUCACACAACCACAGAGUGUUUGAGGAAGGGAAGGGAAUUUAAAGUCAUCCAGUUCCAACCCCUGUCACUGAGGUGGGCAGAGCACCCUGUGGAUGAUACACUGGGGGCCUUUGACCUUUAAAUAACCUUAAAUAAAUUUAAAAAUCUGAAGUCAUACAGUGAAAAUCUAUGCAGAUCCACACAAGUAUAUGUUAUUUUUGCCUGACAUGUAUCUGUUAUGCCUAGUACCAAUCCAAACUGACAAGGUACAUCCUUCAGGGGCUGCAUGGGUCCUGCCUGUCAUGCAUCCCUCUUCCAGGCAUGAUAGAAUAUUCUGCAGUCCUCUUUCUUCCUUACAAGCAUCAUUAUUAUGAUGGCACAUUACCUGCUGGCACUGCAGGACAGCUUGCACACCAAAAUUCAAACUCCAGUCCAUCACCUCUGACAGCUUUGAAUCCCUGUGCCAGAAACCCUUGGAAGACAACAUGAGAAAGAGGAUUAACUGCAUGGGUCCUUACAUUCUUGGUGGCUGUCUCUUCUAAAGUGCUGCUGGAGAAGUACAUGGCUAUCGCUCACAGUGAAAUGGUUUGGGUGUUUGGUGUUUCAGGAAGAAGAUAACUCAAUACAUUUUACGGGGGGGAGAGGGGGCUCUGUCCUGUCAAUAGUGACCAAGAACCACCUUGAUGAGGCCCUUGUGCUAAGGAGUUGUGAGCUGUCUCAUAAGAGCACCUUGUUGGCACCUGUACUGAACAGUCAUGUCCUGCGUGAGGGAGUGCAGAGCAUGCAGGCAAGAGAGAAGCUCAAGCUCCACAACAGAGACAAAAUAUCAAAAGCAGUGAAGAAAUUACGCCAAGCUUUAGGUAAAAGUCUGAUCUGGGAGAUCAUUGCAGAGUGA
rnacentral:lncRNA from 1 species